CAGCAGUGGGGAAUAUUGCACAAUGGGGGAAACCCUGAUGCAGCGACGCCGCGUGGAGGAAGAAGGUCUUCGGAUUGUAAACUCCUGUUGUUGAGGAAGAUAAUGACGGUACUCAACAAGGAAGUGACGGCUAACUACGUGCCAGCAGCCGCGGUAAAACGUAGGUCACAAGCGUUGUCCGGAAUUACUGGGUGUAAAGGGAGCGCAGGCGGGAGAACAAGUUGGAAGUGAAAUCCAUGGGCUCAACCCAUGAACUGCUUUCAAAACUGUUUUUCUUGAGUAGUGCAGAGGUAGGCGGAAUUCCCGGUGUAGCGGUGGAAUGCGUAGAUAUCGGGAGGAACACCAGUGGCGAAGGCGGCCUACUGGGCACCAACUGACGCUGAGGCUCGAAAGUGUGGGUAGCAAACAGGAUUAGAUACCCUGGUAGUCCACACCGUAAACGAUGAUUACUAGGUGUUGGAGGAUUGACCCCUUCAGUGCCGCAGUUAACACAAUAAGUAAUCCACCUGGGGAGUACGACCGCAAGGUUGAAACUCAAAGGAAUUGACGGGGGCCCGCACAAGCAGUGGAGUAUGUGGUUUAAUUCGACGCAACGCGAAGAACCUUACCAAGUCUUGACAUCCCUUGACGAUGCUGGAAACAGUAUUUCUCUUCGGAGCAAGGAGACAGGUGGUGCAUGGUUGUCGUCAGCUCGUGUCGUGAGAUGUUGGGUUAAGUCCCGCAACGAGCGCAACCCUUAUGGUCAGUUACUACGCAAGAGGACUCUGGCCAGACUGCCGUUGACAAAACGGAGGAAGGUGGGGAUGACGUCAAAUCAUCAUGCCCUUUAUGACUUGGGCUACACACGUACUACAAUGGCGUUAAACAAAGAGAAGCAAGACCGCGAGGUGGAGCAAAACUCAGAAACAACGUCCCAGUUCGGACUGCAGGCUGCAACUCGCCUGCACGAAGUCGGAAUUGCUAGUAAUCGUGGAUCAGCAUGCCACGGUGAAUACGUUCCCGGGCCUUGUACACACCGCCCGUCACACCAUGAGAGCCGGGGGGACCCGAAGUCGGUAGUCUAACCGCAAGGAGGACGCCGCCGAAGGUAAAACUGGUGAUUGGGGUGAAGUCGUAACAAGGUAGCCGUAGGAGAACCUGCGGCUG
rnacentral:rRNA from 2 species